UGAAAACGAUCGGCGCGAAUCGAAAGGAAAUUAACUGCUGGCGUUGACAAAACAGCGUUGUGUCAGUAAAUGAUCAAGAAUGGAAAGAAAUAUUUGCCACGAAAUUGCUGGUAGUUGCAAAGUUCAAUAAAUCAUAAUUCGUAUAAAUUUGGCAAACUGCGAAACGAUGUACGUUGUCUCCUUUUAUCCUCACAAAGUUGUGAUUCACCCGUCAUUUAAUAUUUCGUGUUUAUUUAAAUUCUAAUAUGGAAUUCAUUGAUUCUGUGAGGAUGAAGUCUGUGGCAUCGUAAACAUUGUGUACCAGUGAAAGGGAAAUGAGUAUUCAUACCCCCACAAAACCAAGAUUCACCAUGAAAUUUUGUGUAUGUAGGCCUAAUUUGAUUUUUUAUUAUGGAAGUCAUCAAAAAGGGCUACUACGUCCUGAAACCCCAUAAUGAGGAGAGCUACAAUGGGAUUGAACACCAUGUUAUUAGGAUAAUUGCAGUCUGGACCUCGAUAAUUGGGUAGACUAAGGUGAAGAUUGCUGGCGUCAUAUCAUAUAUAACUGUUCUAGAAUAGCAUACAUAACUCAGGGAAACAUUGGUGCAGAGGUCAACGCCAUUGUUAUAUAUGAUAACGGCCCAGAGUUGUAAUAAAUAUUUUAAUAUUUGCUAUUUUUGAUAAAUAAUAAAAAUAAAUGUAAAUGUAGGAGAUUUCUCUUGAUUAGCGGUUCUUCUUUUGGAGCAGUAAUAGUAGUCAGUUUUUCUAAUAUUGAACCAUAUUCAUAUAACAUUAUUUCAGUAAGUUUUUUUUUAAACCUGCUUAACGGACAUUGCGAGAAUCUCCUCAGCAUUGCAAUUUAACAAAAGUAAUUAUGUAGCUAUAUAUCUGGAAUACUGUGUGUUGGUGGUGUCUUUUGAUAUAAAAACAGCUU